rnacentral:rRNA from 1 species
GCACCCGCGGUAAUUCCAGCUCCAAUAGCGUAUACUAAUGUUGUUGCAGUUAAAAAGCUCGUAGUCGGAUUUCAGUAGGCUCAGUUAAGUCUCUUCUAUUGAGUUCUUUAUGGGCCUGCUUCUUUGACAGAAACUUCUAUGUUAUUCAUUUAGCGUGGGUAGCGACUGUCUCUUUUACUUUGAGAAAAUUAGAGUGUUCAAAGCAGGUAUUCGCCUGAAUAUUACUCUUAGAAUAAUGCUAUAAGACUUUGGUUCUAAUGU